AUGCCCGGCUUCCCCGGGGGCCCAUCCAGACCAGGGGCUCCAGGCUCGCCCUUGACACCCUGGGAAGGAGAAAGUUGGGAUCAGGGUGGGAUGAGCCCCUCUGGAAGGAGUGGGGUCAGGUUUGGGAUGAGUGGGAUCGGGUUUGGGAUGAGCGGGGUCAGGUUUGGGAUGAGUGGGGUCAGGUUUGGGAUGAGCGGGGUCAGGUUUGGGAUGAGUGGGGUCAGGUUUGGGAUGAGCGGGGUCAGGUUUGGGAUGAGUGGGGUCAGGUUUGGGAUGAGCGGGGUCAGGUUUGGGAUGAGUGGGGUCAGGUUUGGGAUGAGCGGGGUCAGGUUUGGGAUGAGUGGGGUCAGGUUUGGGAUGAGCGGGGUCAGGUUUGGGAUGAGUGGGGUCAGGUUUGGGAUGAGCGGGGUCAGGUUUGGGAUGAGUGGGGUCAGGUUUGGGAUGAGCGGGGUCAGGUUUGGGAUGAGUGGGGUCAGGUUUGGGAUGAGCGGGGUCAGGUUUGGGAUGAGUGGGGUCAGGUUUGGGAUGAGCGGGGUCAGGUUUGGGAUGAGUGGGGUCAGGUUUGGGAUGAGCGGGGUCAGGUUUGGGAUGAGUGGGGUCAGGUUUGGGAUGAGCGGGGUCAGGUUUGGGAUGAGUGGGGUCAGGUUUGGGAUGAGCGGGGUCAGGUUUGGGAUGAGUGGGGUCAGGUUUGGGAUGAGCGGGGUCAGGUUUGGGAUGAGUGGGGUCAGGUUUGGGAUGAGCGGGGUCAGGUUUGGGAUGAGUGGGGUCAGGUUUGGGAUGAGCGGGGUCAGGUUUGGGAUGAGUGGGGUCAGGUUUGGGAUGAGCGGGGUCAGGUUUGGGAUGAGUGGGGUCAGGUUUGGGAUGAGCGGGGUCAGGUUUGGGAUGAGUGGGGUCAGGUUUGGGAUGAGCGGGGUCAGGUUUGGGAUGAGUGGGGUCAGGUUUGGGAUGAGCGGGGUCAGGUUUGGGAUGAGUGGGGUCAGGUUUGGGAUGAGCGGGGUCAGGUUUGGGAUGAGUGGGGUCAGGUUUGGGAUGAGCGGGGUCAGGUUUGGGAUGAGUGGGGUCAGGUUUGGGAUGAGCGGGGUCAGGUUUGGGAUGAGUGGGGUCAGGUUUGGGAUGAGCGGGGUCAGGUUUGGGAUGAGUGGGGUCAGGUUUGGGAUGAGCGGGGUCAGGUUUGGGAUGAGUGGGGUCAGGUUUGGGAUGAGCGGGGUCAGGUUUGGGAUGAGUGGGGUCAGGUUUGGGAUGAGCGGGGUCAGGUUUGGGAUGAGCGGGGUCAGGUUUGGGAUGAGCGGGGUCAGGUUUGGGAUGAGUGGGGUCAGGUUUGGGAUGAGCCCCUCUGGAUGUGGGGUCAGGGAGGGCUGGGUACUCACCGGGGUACCGGGGGCUCCAGCGGGGCCUUUGUCACCCUGGGGACAGGGACAGGGACAGGGACAGGGACAGGGAUCAGCCACCCCACAGAGCCCAUCCAGGGCCAUCGGGGUCCCUGUGCCACCCCAAAGACAGGAGGGACCCUGA
rnacentral:lncRNA from 1 species